rnacentral:rRNA from 1 species
CCCUUAGAUGUCCUGGGCCGCACGCGCGCUACACUGAUGCAUUCAACGAGUAUUUCCUUGGCCGAGAGGCCUGGGCAAUCUUUUAAACCUGCAUCGUGAUAGGGAUAGAUUAUUGCAAUUAUUAAUCUUGAACGAGGAAUUCCUAGUAAACGCAAAUCAUCAAUUUGCAUCGAUUACGUCCCUGCCCUUUGUACACACCGCCCGUCGCACCUACCGAUUGAAUGGUCCGGUGAAAUCUCGGGAUUGUGGCCAGUUCACUUUAUUGGGAGUUGGCUGCGAGAACUUGCUUAAACCUUAUCAUUUAGAGGAAGGUGAAGUCGUAACA